rnacentral:rRNA from 1 species
UACAGAGGGUGCUAGCGUUGUUCGGAAUCAUUGGGCGUAAAGGGCGUGUAGGCGGUUUGUUAAGUCAUGUGUGAAAUCCCUCGGCUCAACCGGGGAACGACGCAUGAAACUGGCAAGCUAGAGUACCAAAGAGGGGGGUGGAAUUCCCGGUGUAGCGGUGAAAUGCGUAGAUAUCAGGAGGAACACCGGUGGCGAAGGCGGCAUCCUGGACCGAUAUUGACGCUGAUGCGCGAAAGCCAGGGGAGCAAACGGG